UUCCAUACAGUCAUAAGCAAGUUGGCUUCACCCUUCACCCCCUGCUCUUUCUGAGCAGCUGGAAGAGGGAUGCUCUGACCCUGCAUUGACCAAAGGACAGCAGUGCAGGGAAUGCAUGUUAAUUUACCCCUUUAAAGCCUGAGAGAGAGGAGGCAAAGUAGGAGCAUCUGUCAGAGCCACACAGUUGCAUUUCCCAUGGAGGAGCUUGGGGACAGCCAUGGGAAGAUGCAUGUUGUCUUCCAUGCCCAAAGGGUUAACCCUGCUUUGAGUCACCAUGGGUGGAAAUAAUCCCUGGGCUGGUAGCUGCCCAAAGCUCAGAGCAGAGGUGAGGGCUGGUGAUCCCUUGAACCAACACAGGGACAACAAAAUGUGAUGUAAAGCAGAGAUGUCUUCCAUCAGGACCAGAGAAUGGUUGGGUUGAAAGGAGCCUUAAAGCCCACCCAGAUCCAACCCCUGCCGUGGAGUGGCUACCCUUACCUGAUCAGGCUGCCCAGGGCCCCAUCCAACCUGCCCUUGAGCACCUCCAGGGAUGGGUCAUCCACAACUUCUUUGUGCAUCCUAUUUCAGGGCCCCCCACCCCCAGAGAAAAGAAUUUUAUCCUCACAUUUCACCUAAAUCUCCCCUCUUCUAGUUUAAAACCAUUCCCUGUUGUCCUGUCACUAUCAGACCAUAUUAAAAGUAAAGGAAGGAGAGCAGCACAGCCCUUCAUGAUCUCCAUGGUUGACUAUUGGAAGCCACAACGCAUGCGAUUAAUACAAGAAAAAACACUCCAGGCUCCUUUUGAACCAAAGGAAAUCUCUCCUUGUCUUGAUGUCCCCUGGACAGGAGUGGCCUCUGUGAUGGUACCAGCAGGGAAGCACAGGAUUGCCAUGUGGGUCCAAAGAGAAGAUAUCAUGUCUAGAAGUCCCUUUGGCACAGGGGAUUUUUCACCACGGAGCUCUCGUGCCUCUGAUGGACAUUGAUUUAAACCUUCAUGCUUCUACUUGCUCUGAGGUCCAACUGGCUAAUCUGGGAAGUGGGUGCUGGAGAAUUGAGCCAGCACUUGUCUCCUGCUCUCGUCUUCCACCAAGUCUCCACCCGUAGCUGCUUGCCCUGGCUGUCUACAUUCUCAUGGUCCACGGAGCAUCUCCACCUCUAGCACUCAAUGUGCUCAGCAAUUUGCAGGAAGAAACACUUAUGGACCUCUGGAAGCCUUUCUUGAGGUGUAAAAUAAACUUUUAGCCAACAAAUUUCAUAUCCCCUCAUUUGGGAGGAGAUCUGAAUUAAUACACUCUACCUGAUGUCUAUCCGACACACUCGUCAUUCCUUAAUUCAGCAACUCCUUGUUGUACAGCAUCCACAUGGUCCUACCCCACCCAUGGUUACUCCUACCAUGUUGCUAUGGGCUUGGUGGAGGAAUGGGGAUAACAGAAUCAUAGAAUCAUUAAGGUUGGAAAAGACCACUAAGAUCAUCUGGUCCAACCAUCCACCUACCAUCAAUAUUGCCCACUAAGCCAUGUCUCUCAGUGUGCCACAAGUCCACAUUUCCUGAAUGCCUCCAGGGACAGAGGCUCUACCUCUGCCCUGGGCAGCCUCUUCCAGUGCCCAAUCACACUUUUGGAAAAGUUUUCCCCCAACAUCCAAUCUGAAGAGCUGCCUUCAACUUUCCAAAAGUUUCCAGUCUUCUCCGCUUCAUCUCAAAGAUCCAACACUCCAUCCUUUGAGCAAAGGCUGGUAAAGCCUUUUCCAUUCACGUGGCAGAAAGCACCAAUAUGGAUUUUAUUGGAUGCUGAAUGUUUAAUUUUUUUUUUUUUUAAAGGGAAAUUAAACAGCUUGUUAUGCUCCUCUCCCUAAAAUUCAGGACUCGGAGACUUGUUUGACUAUGACUAACUUAAGGUGUUACUCUGCUGCAAUCCAAACACGCUUUCUGCCAAUGAAAACAGAAUUCCCUAAAACAGCCCUGCUUUUAUCUGCCAGCCUAUAAAUAAAAAGGCACAAAGUUGCAAGUUCUGCACUUUCAGCCAAAAAUAAACCUUCUAAACUAAGAACACCGAACUGCAAAGCUUCACAAUCUGCUGAACAAAACGUAAAUAUUGCAUGUUGGCAAUCCAACAGCACUGCUGCCUUCCGAGUGGGCCAGAUGUUCCACGCUUCAGGGUGCAGUGGGCAAUGGGCAAGUCCACAUAACAUGGUUUUUGCUGGGAAUCUUGUAAACUGGGUGAGCAACUUGGUCUGCAGACUUCUGGGAAGUGGGAGGAAAGCAAGCAAGAGGGCAUGGAGGUAAAAUGUUGGGGAGGGAAGGCAAGAAAUGGUUUCAAACCAGAAGAGGGGAGAUGGAGUACAGAUACAAGGGGAAAAAAAUUACGGUGAGGUAGUGAAGCAUUGGAACAGGUCGCUUAGAGAGGUGGUGGGUGCCACAUCCCUGAAUACACUCAGGGUCAGGCUGGACAGGGCUCUGGGCACUGAUUGAGCUGUAGGUAUCCCUGUUCAGUGCAGUGGAGUUGGACUAGAUGACCUUUAAGGGUCCCUUCCAACUCGAACAAUCUAUGAAAUUGAAUAUUUGGCUGAGUUGGCUUCAGCAUGUUUUUUACCUGAGCUUCUCUCUGGUAUUUUUAAAAUCCUAUGGUCUAUUUGCCCACUGGGGAUGAGUAACCCCAUGGAAUGUCCCAUAUUUGGAAGUAUUUGACAGCUCAGGGUCCAGUAAUUGCUUGCAAACUGGAAGAUUCUCUUCCAGUUAUGUUAUUCUGAUACAAGUUCCAUUAUUAUCUGAUACAAACCCAAGUAAGCCAACCAAAACCCUGAAGGAGACACUGAUGUAGCUAAGGUGCCACCCACCACUGCCCUUAUUUCCCAGACAUACAGAAAUUAGUGUCCAGGAAAAAAAAAAAAAAAACAAACAACAAAACAACUGAUCCAUCUGCACUGCCUUCCUAAUUUAAGCAGCUCUGUUACCAGGCUCAGGUAGGAGGUGAGAUCACCCCUGGCUCUGCUGCGUGCGAAACACAAGGUACCUUGUACAUAUUCAUUAACCAUGACAUUAGCAAUACUACUAUCACCUGUACAACAGCACAAACUGAUGCACUGAUCAGCAUCCAUGUCAAUCAAGCGUGCAGCCGGUCGUAACAGCCAGGAUAAUAUCUGCAAAGGUAUUUAUAGAGACAACACAGCCAUGCAGAGAUCUGCUGAAGAUAUUGUGACACUGUAGUGGCAGUCAGGAACUCACAUGGUUGUGAUGCCAUGGUCAAAGCCAUCAAGGUUCAAACU
ensembl:lncRNA